UGCUUGCAUGAUACGUGAUCAGGGCCUGGGCAGGUCAGCGUGGAGCGGCGAUGGAGGAGGAGGACGAUAGAGAGAGCGCUUGCUUCACUGGCCAUGGCGAAGCUGCCGCUGCAGGCCAUGUCACGAGGGCUGCCUUUCCACCUCCUCACGGGGCCCUCUCCCGGUCCCUUUCGCAAGUGGGUCUCCCUGUGCCAUGUCACCGUCUACGUGGCGUGGGGCUCGUUUCGACGUGGCGCGGACUGUGUAUCUACGUGGCAUGAGCGUGGGGUUUGGAGAACAUGUGUGAGGAGAUUUUAGUUUUACUUUGGUUUCAGUUAUUAAUAAUCUCCACGAGGGGGUGAGAGUUUGGGACAAUGCCUUAAUGAGGUGUAACAUGGCAUUCCCAACACAUAGCUUCAUUAUUUACUUAUUUGUCUUCCCAAACAAAAUAUAUAAAUCCGGAUGAGAAUUACAUUUUAAGAAAAAAAUAUCAU
rnacentral:lncRNA from 1 species